CUCGAUAUGGUUAGGAGAAUAUUACACUAAGAGUAUGAAAUUUGCCAAAACAGUUGAAGUAAUGACUCUGUAAGGAAGGGAGAGAUGUUGUUUGUUGCUGACUAAUCACUUAAGAGGUAGUGCAUAAAAUGUUUGCAAUAAAUAUAGACGCUUUAGAAUUCUGGAAAUGUAUCAGUAGUGCAGUGUGCGAAUGAUAAGUACAGACAAUUUUGCGUAUUAAACAACGCAUCAGCGUAUGUUUUUUGCAUGUGCUGAAGGCUGACAAAGUUUCUCAUGCAGGUUACAUUUACAAAAAAAUGCGUCAUUUCUUUGGAAUGCGUAUGAAGGUGCAACAUUAU